rnacentral:rRNA from 1 species
AGCGGACCGACGGGAGCUUGCUCCCUUAGGUCAGCGGCGGACGGGUGAGUAACACGUGGGUAACCUGCCUGUAAGACUGGGAUAACUCCGGGAAACCGGGGCUAAUACCGGAUGCUUGAUUGAACCGCAUGGUUCAAUCAUAAAAGGUGGCUUUUAGCUACCACUUGCAGAUGGACCCGCGGCGCAUUAGCUAGUUGGUGAGGUAACGGCUCACCAAGGCGACGAUGCGUAGCCGACCUGAGAGGGUGAUCGGCCACACUGGGACUGAGACACGGCCCAGACUCCUACGGGAGGCAGCAGUAGGGAAUCUUCCGCAAUGGACGAAAGUCUGACGGAGCAACGCCGCGUGAGUGAUGAAGGUUUUCGGAUCGUAAAACUCUGUUGUUAGGGAAGAACAAGUACCGUUCGAAUAGGGCGGUACCUUGACGGUACCUAACCAGAAAGCCACGGCUAACUACGUGCCAGCAGCCGCGGUAAUACGUAGGUGGCAAGCGUUGUCCGGAAUUAUUGGGCGUAAAGCGCGCGCAGGCGGUUUCUUAAGUCUGAUGUGAAAGCCCCCGGCUCAACCGGGGAGGGUCAUUGGAAACUGGGGAACUUGAGUGCAGAAGAGGAGAGUGGAAUUCCACGUGUAGCGGUGAAAUGCGUAGAGAUGUGGAGGAACACCAGUGGCGAAGGCGACUCUCUG